AUAUAAGUAAGCGGAGGAAGAGAAACUAACUAGGAUUCCCUUAGUAAUGGCGAAUGAACAGGGAACAGCUCAACACCGAAUCGGUUUGCCGACUUGUGGUGAAUGGAAACUUAGGAAGUGCUUUUGAGUAAGUCUCCUGGAAUGGGGUACCUAAGAGGGUGAUAGUCCCGUUACUCAAUAAGCUAAACCGUACAAGUUCCUGUGAAAGAGUCGCGUUCUUUGGGAUAAGAGCGCUAAAGGGUGGUAAGUUCCAUCCAAGGCUAAAUAUGACCACGAGACCGAUAGCGCACAAGUA
rnacentral:rRNA from 1 species